rnacentral:rRNA from 1 species
UACGGGGGGGGCAAGCGUUGUUCGGAAUUACUGGGCGUAAAGGGUGCGUAGGCGGCUCCGCUAAGUUAGAUGUGAAAACUCUGGGCUUAACCCAGAGCCUGCAUCUAAUACUGACGGGCUAGAGUUCUGGAGGGGGUAGCGGAAUUCCUGGUGUAGCGGUGAAAUGCGUAGAUAUCAGGAGGAACACCGGUGGCGAAGGCGGCUACCUGGACAGAGUCUGACGCUGAGGCACGAAAGCUAGGGGAGCAAACAGG